CAAAAAAAAAAAAAAAACAGCAACAGACUUUGUAAAAUAUUCCUCUACAUUCUUUAAAAGAAAUAUUGAUUUGAAAAUUUCAAGUUAACUACAACUAAAACAAUGUCUAGCAGAGUUGUUUCUCUUUGUAUAAAACAUGCACUUGCACAAUCACAUUACUAAUGGUUGCUGCUGGCUUAUAAAACAAAUAGUUAUUCAUGUGUAUAAAUAGAUAGAAUAAACAUAUAGGUACAUUUAAAAAAAAAAAAUAUUUAUGAUGUAUGCAUGGUAUUUAGUACAUUGAUAAGUAAGAUUUUAUUGUAUACUUUUUUUUUCACCUGUCCAUUCACAUCAUUUGAUGUGUAAGAUUCCACAACACAGUCAUUUUUUUUUGGCAUGAAGUUUUUACAAUUAGAUUUGACUUUGUAUAAAAAGUUCAAAAUUUGUUAAGGAAAGAAGUUUGUGUGCAUAUUUGAAAUAGAAUUUUCAAAGCAAAAUCUAUUUUUGAAGUUUCUAGGAAUUAAUUGAUAUAUCUACUGAUUGUUUCCUUUGGAAUGAUUGAUUUCAAUACAAGUUUGUGUCUACUUUAAGUGACAUAAUCACAUGUCAAUAAUUGAUGAGAUGUACCACACAUAACACAAAAACAGUUUUUCUUGGCCGUCCAGUUUUGUGUUUAUCUUGAUUUCACUCCAUUACUCAUGCUUUUAUUUUGUUCAACUGGAUCCAUUGUGUUUCUUUCCUUCUUUUGGUUGUAGUCCAUAGUCUUUGUUCAACAUCUAGAUGAAACAUUGUACUAAUGCAUCGUUUUGAAACAGCUGAGCUUUGACCAUCUAGUUCUACACACUGUUCACAGUUUGUUACUUUGUAAUGUGAUUUUGUUUGUAGUUUUUUUUUUCUUUGCCCCCUUUUAAAAUUGUAACAUGGAACUUUUGGUAGCUAUUGAAAUUGUAUUUCCUUUGAUGUUCUUUUUAAUAAAGACACUAAAUUUGCAUGUGUAUAUGUAUGUAGAUAAUAAAGGGUAGUGGGAUUUGAUUCAACUCUGUUUUCACAAUUCCCUGUUAGUCAGGACUAAAAUGGUCCAUGAGUUUCUGUAUGUUGAGAGUCACUGCUCCAUAUAAUGUAGUCAUAUUUAUAUCAACAACCCAAUGAUUUGACUGUCUUCUUCUAUGACUACAUAAUGGAUUUUAAAAGUAUUUCAUCAAAGUUCACUAGGGAAAGAUGUUUGUUACUACAACCUAGAAUGAGACCUUAAGUCUAAACAUACUUGGUAGCACUUUUCAAACAGUUAGAUGUGACAGUAUUGAUAGUACCAGCUUUUUGUUUUCCUAUCCAUCAAGUGUAUUGUUUGAUCUUAUUCCAUUUUUUCAUGUUUUGCAUUUUGAUAUUUUUUAACCAAUAGAUGUGAACUGGUUUUAACAAUGUUUUAAAUAAACUUGUUUGAUAAUGUAACUCAUUUUUUACUGGUCUAACUUUUUUUAUCAACCUAAAGUGAAUGUCCAUUGUAGACAUGUCAAUAGUAGAAGGGGAACAAUUGUGAUGUACAUUGUAAUGCAGAGAAACAAGUGUGGACAUUUUUGAAAGUAGCCAUUUUGUUGUGUUAUUUUCUUCCAAAUGUGUUGAUAUUUCAAACAAUCAUCUGAGCACAAAAUUGUUUUUCUCACUUUAUUUAUGACAUCUUUUCAAUAAAUAAAACAUUGGAUGAAAAAGAAA